rnacentral:lncRNA from 1 species
UUUUUUUUUGUAGCAUAAAAAUGUAUUUCUUAUUUAUUCUAAAAAAGUCACGUGGUGUUUUUUUAACAUUGGUACAGACACAAGCGUUCAUAUACACGUGCAUACACUUAUCCCUAUGAAUGCACGCACGCACACCCUACCCCUAUGAGCGUCUCCGAAAGACUGAGCCGGCAUAUCAUCUAUGAGCACGUGGUGUUUAUAUGUUCAUGAGUUUGGUUGCUCUCGACACGGGUGGUAACUGUGUAACAAUCACUACUUCCCAAAAAAAUAAAACUGUGUAACAAUCACUACCGUCGCUUGCAUCAAGCCAUGAAAUCCACCAAGUCGCCAUCCUACCUGCCCUCCGUUACGCGGUGAACUUUUUUUUUUGACACAAUUACACGGCGAACUUUAGUAACAAGGGCCGCUACUAGUCGGCUUUGCGUUCUCGCCUCCAUGUCCGAUCGAGUUACCAAACUUCAAGAAAUGUGACAUCUACAUCUACCGGAACUUAUUAAUUUGAAUCCCUCAGCUACUGUUGGUCGAUAUGCUUUGGCAGUCUGACUGUUAAAGGUUCCACAAUUUCAUCCAACAACCUUAUCGAGUGCAUCUGUUUAACGAUUCCAUGAUGCCUCUCGAGCCUAUUCACUGGCCAGCAUGCAACUACAACAUAUUGUGUCGUGUACCGGAAAGAAAAAGUAAAAAGCAUGUGGUGUUGUGCGCAUGCCAUCAUGUUCCUGGCACUUGCACUGAUGAGUUUGUUCCCUUUGCAAAUGCAUCAUGUACGACUUCAGUAGCCUCUCGGUUCUUCAGUUUUAUAGAUGCUGCGUCCCUUGCCGUACGCAUCUCACACAUAAAGAAAAUAGAAGUGUUUCCCAAGAAAAUACUAGUACAGUUGUUCCGAUUUGUCAUCAUAAUUUGGUGAACAAUUAAUUGAAGAAUAAAAACACCUGAUGGGGGCCGGUCUGGAUCUUUUUUCUCUCAUUUGUAUCACCUUAUCUUACUCUAGCAGUCUAGCUGCUGAAACCACUAUGUCUAGGCAAUUGGCCGAUGCACCUUGCAUUGCAUGGAUAGUUAUCAGUAUAUCACACCAUAAACUGAUCUGAAGCCAGUCAUUUCCGAGCAGAUAUUUUAUGGAAAUGGCUUCUAUAGAUGUCAUGUGUAUUUUCUUUUUAUACCUGCUAAAGUUUUUUUGCAUGGAAAACGGGAUUUUAUUCAAUGAUAACAGUGUCAUAAUCAAGAGGCAAAAGUUCCUCAAUAUACUGAGGACCUCUUCGCACCCAUACAACAGUAGAGGCAACAUUUGUUUCAAAAAAUAGUAGAGGCAGCAGGGUGCGAACGACGCACACAGAUCUGGGCACAUGCACACGCUGACGGGCGGACCCGGGCUAGGUAGGCACACGCCGGCCAGCGCGUGAGACCUUGCAGACCGGCGCGACUGAAACAACCACACGACAGUAGCGUCAGUCGCGCACGCGGUCCACCCGUCGUGGACCCCUGAGGCCGUCCGGCUGGGUGUGCGCCGUCUGGUACUCGGUUCGUCUGAUUUAUUCGUUGGCAUCGUGUUUUCCGAAUGAUUCGAAAAAAAAACAUGGUUCGGAUGGCUCACCUGGCUUCGCGAGUGGCCGGCUCCACGACUUGCUCGGUUGUUGGUGUGUGCAAGGCUUGGUUAUAUCACGCACCUCUCCUCUCUGUUGCCGGCCCGGUAGUUAGUUGUAAUUUACAGUUCAGAUUCCAACCACUUUUGUUGUGUUGUUGGUGGUCGGUUAGAUCGUCGCUAGGGAGGCUAGUUCUCGGUUUGUUCAGGUCGUAUCCCUGUUGCUCGGUUCGUCCGGUUUGGUGUUGACUUUGCUCAACAUGCGGUCUUAUGGUGGUCCUUGGACUACCCCAUAGGAGCGAGUUGUUGUUUACUCCAAUGUACAACCAAGCAAAGUGUCCCAUAGGCAUCAGCAAGGGUCCAGGUAGGCAAAGCCUAUGAGGGUCCGCAUCAGCAAGGGUCCAGGUAGGCAAAGCCUGGGUAAAAGCGUAGUGGAGCGUCCGGGUAUUGUGACGCCCCCGAUUCAAUCGUACACUAAAAAUACACGCAAACGUGUACGAUCAAGAUCAGAGACUCACAGGAAGAUAUCACAACACAACUCUAAAAAUAAAAUAAGUCAUACAAACAUCAUAAUACAAGCCAGGGGCCUCGAGGGCUCGAAUACAAGUGCUCGAUCAUAGACUAGUCAGCGGAAGCAACAAUAUCUAAGUACAGACAUAAGUUAAACAAGGUUGCCUUAAGGCUAGCACAAACUGGGAUGCCGAUCGAAAGAGGCACAGGCCUCCUGCCUGGGAUCCUCCUAAACUACUCCUGGUUGUCGUCAGCGGCCUGCACGUAGUAGUAGGCACCUUCAAUGUAGUAGUCGUCGUCGACGAUGGCGUCUGGCUCCUGGGCUCCAACAUCUGGUUGGGACAACCAGGUAGAAUGGAAAGGGGGGAAAGAGGGAGAAAAGCAACCGUGAGUACUCAUCCAAAGUACUCGCAAACAAGGAUCUACACUACAUAUGCAUGGGUAUAUGUGUAAAGGGCCAUAUCAGUGGACUGAACUGCAGAAUGCCGGAAUAAGAGGGGGUUAACUAAUCCUGUCGAAGACUACGCUUCUGGCAGCCUCCAUCUUGCAGCAUGUAGAAGAGAGUAGACUGAAGUCCUCCAAGUAGCAUCGCAUAGCAUAAUCCUACCCGGCGAUCCUCCCCUCGUCGCCCUGUGGAAAAGCGACCACCGGGUUGUCUGUGGAACUUGUAUGGGUGUGUUUUAUUAAGUGUCCGGUUCUAGUUGUCAUAAGGUCAAGGUACAACUCCGGGUCGUCCUUUUACCGAGGGACACGGCUAUUCGAAUAGAUUAACUUCCCUGCAAGGGUGCACCACAUAACCCAACACGCUCGAUCCUAUUUGGCCGGACACACUUUCCUGGGUCAUGCCCGGCCUCGGAAGAUCAACACGUCGCAGCCCCACCUAGGCACAACAGAGAGGUCAGCACGCCGGUCUAAAUCCUAUGCGCGCAGGGGUCUGGGCCCAUCGCCCAUUGCACACCUGCACGUUGCGAGGGCGGCCGGAAGCAGACAUAGCCUCCCUAAUACAAGAGCAGGCAUUACAGUCCAAUCCGACGCGCGCCGCUCCGUCGCUGACGUCAAGAAGGCUUCGGCUGAUACCACGACGUUGAGUGCCCAUAUCUUUCCCGCGUAGUUGGUUAGUGCGUAUAGGCCAGUGGCCAGACUCAGAUCAAAUACCAAGAUCUCGUUAAGCGUGUUAUUAUGAAGUAACCGCGAACGCCGACCAGGGCCAGGCCCACCUCUCGCCUAGGUGGUCUCAACCUGCCCUGUCGCUCCGCCACAUAGUAACAGUCGGGGGCCGUCGGGAACCCAGGCCCACCUCUACCGGGAUGGAGCCACCUGUCCUUUCAGCCCCCACAUCGUAAUCACUUGUGGGUACUCAACGAGCCAACCCGACUUUAGUCAGCAUCUGUAUAGUAUGUAUAUAUGUAUAGUAUAUACCCGUGAUCACCUCCCAAGUGAUCACGGCCCGAUAGUAUAGCAAGGCAGACUGACGAGAAUGUAGGGCCAAUGAUGAUAAACUAGCAUCCUAUACUAAACAUUUAGGAUUGUGGGUAAGGUAUCAACGAUUGUAGCAACAAUGACAGGCUAUGCAACAGAAUAGGAGUAACCGAACAGUAACAUGCUACACUACUCUAAUGCAAGCAGUAUAGAGAAGAAUAUGCGAUAUCUAGUGAUCAAGGGGGGCUUGCCUGGUUGCUCUGGCAAGAAGGAGGGGUCGUCAACUCCGUAGUUGAACUGGGCAGCAGCAGCGUCGGUCUCGUAGUCUACCGGAGAUAAGAGGGGGAAGAAACAAUGAAUACAAUGCAAACAUAAGCAUGACGAUGCAUCACAUGACAAGUAAUGGCGCUAGGUGUGCCCUAACGCGGUAGUAGGUGAUACCGGCGAAAGGGGGAAACAUCCGGGAAAGUAUCCCCGGUGUUUCGCGUUAUCGGACAGAUGAACCAGAGGUGAAAUGUUGCAGGUUCACUAUGCUAGGGACGCGUGGCGGACGAACGGGCUGCGUAUCUGGAUUUGUCUCGUCGUUCUGAGCAGCUUUCAUGUACAAAGUUUUUCCAUCCGAGUUACGAAUUAUUUUAUAUUAAUUUUCAAAGUUUUUAAGUUAUUUUCUAAAUUAUUAUCUAUUUAAUUCUAACAUUAUCCAGAAUAGUGCAUGCUGGCGUCAUCAUGACGUCAGCAUGAUGUCAGCAAUCAACAGGACGUUUACUGGGUCAAACUGACGUGCGGGUUCCAGCUGUCAUUGACUGUUAACUAACCUAACAAAUUAAUUAACUAACCUAAGUGAUUAGGUUACUCUAAUCAGGAUUAAUUAAGUUAAUUAAUUAAUUAUUAUUUAUUUUAAUUAUAUUUUUUUAAUUCUUUCUCCUCUUUUUUUUAACGUUCUCUGGGCGUGGGGCCCAUCUGUCAUAGGCCCCAAGGGCCUUAGUGGGUUCGGGGGCUAGCGGGCGCCUGGAGCGGGCGCUGGGCACCCGAACGGGCAAAUCCAUGGGCGGGCGGGUGACUCGCCGGAGCCCAGCCACGGACGGCACCGGCGGACGGCGGCGAGUCGGCGAACGGCGGUGAUGCUGGGCAGCGCACCGGGGNNNNNNNNNNNNNNNNNNNNNNNNNNNNNNNNNNNNNNNNNNNNNNNNNNNNNNNNNNNNNNNNNNNNNNNNNNNNNNNNNNNNNNNNNNNNNNNNNNNNNNNNNNNNNNNNNNNNNNNNNNNNNNNNNNNNNNNNNNNNNNNNNNNNNNNNNNNNNNNNNNNNNNNNNNNNNNNNNNNNNNNNNNNNNNNNNNNNNNNNNNNNNNNNNNNNNNNNNNNNNNNNNNNNNNNNNNNNNNNNNNNNNNNNNNNNNNNNNNNNNNNNNNNNNNNNNNNNNNNNNNNNNNNNNNNNNNNNNNNNNNNNNNNNNNNNNNNNNNNNNNNNNNNNNNNNNNNNNNNNNNNNNNNNNNNNNNNNNNNNNNNNNNNNNNNNNNNNNNNNNNNNNNNNNNNNNNNNNNNNNNNNNNNNNNNNNNNNNNNNNNNNNNNNNNNNNNNNNNNNNNNNNNNNNNNNNNNNNNNNNNNNNNNNNNNNNNNNNNNNNNNNNNNNNNNNNNNNNNNNNNNNNNNNNNNNNNNNNNNNNNNNNNNNNNNNNNNNNNNNNNNNNNNNNNNNNNNNNNNNNNNNNNNNNNNNNCCAGUUCGGGCAAAGGAAGGGUGCGAGGAGCGAGGGGAGUGGGGGUUUGCCUCGAUCCAGAUUGGAUCGGGAGGGGGGAAGGUGGCGACGUGGGUGGGGGGAGUGGGAGCUAGUGGGUUAGGGUUUCGGUCGGAGUUGACCAGGUAUAGGCCAGGGAGGGGGCCGGUUGGGCCAAGUAGGCCAGUUGGAUGGGAUGGGCCGAGGCCCAUGGGAAGGGGGGUUCAUUUGUUUUGUUUUGUUUUCACUUUUGUUUUUCUUAUUUAUUUUACCUUUUCUAUUUUAGUUUUGUUUCCUAUAAUUUUACUUUUGGUAAAAUAUACACUUAGUAUCUAAAUUAGUAUUUCAGCUCAGUCCAUAGCCACAAAAGGUCUAGUCCUCAGAUAAAUUAGUUUGAAAUUUUAUUAAUUACAAAAGGCAUUUAAAUAAUUGUUUUUGCUACUGUUUUAUUCAUCUUGUAGUAUUUAAACAUUUUAUAUAGGUGUGGUUUCUCCACCAUAAUCAUCUAUGAUUUAUUUGCUACAAUUUGAACAUUUUAGAUUUGAUAAUUGAAAACUUUUAUUGUUAGACUUCAAUUCAAAUUUGAAUUAGGAUCGGUUCUGAACUAACACGAGAUUAGCAACGGUAAUCGUGGUGACGUGGCAUCAUUACCAGAGGGUUACUGUAGCUUGAUUACCCGGGCGUCACAAUUCUCCUCCACUACAAGAAAUCUCGUCCCGAGAUUUAAGACGUAGAGGGGGGGAGGUCUAGUUACGAAAACGGAUCUUCUCGGCCUUGGUUGCUCUUCUUGAAGAGGUCGAUACAUUACAUUGAAGUCUUUAUUCCUAUGCUUCAGUCAUCAUGAUGAAGCCGACAUCCUUCCUUCAAGAUCUCCAUCGUACUUACGACAGAAUAAGGGGGUAUUCCGGAAGAAUGGAUCUCUGCAAGGUUGACUCUGGUCGAUAAUAUCGGGGAAGGUGGCGGAAAGUAACUCUCGAGUUGAAACUUAAGAAAAUAUCGAGAGCAAAGUAAGGAGGUAUCAUGGGAAGUUUCAAGCAGGUAGGCAAUCGUUUGUUGCGUGAAACAAAGUGUGAAACGGGUCCAGAGCAACAAGAAUAAGUAUUGCGUCUGAUACCAGAGUAGAUCAUCUGUAGGACGAUGACUCGUGAAUUACAUACGAAGCUAAGUGCAAAGGAUACUUCAGUAUCAAGGAUGUACAAGAGAGUCAGGUUUCAAUCCUGUGGAAUUGUGGGUUAUGGGCCCACCAUGUGGGUUAAAAGUAGGAGGAGCGGUGACUUCUUGCAUGGUCAAGAUAGCAAGGCAGGUCAGAAUGUAGCCUGUCGAUUAUGUCGGCAACAACGUCGGUACCAAGGGCGAGGGACGAAGAGAACCAUUUUCCUGCUCGUUGAACGAGGCGGACCAAUAGGCAAAGUUCUCAUCCAUCGGUGGUUACCAGAAUGUCAUCAUCAAUAGUAACAGGGUCUUGCUGACAGAAUUGUACAACGAGGUGUUUACAUAAGCAGGGAAAUGUUACUGCUUAUAUAAUAUACAUCACAAGAAGGUUUAAACAAACCAAUGGAAAGGAAAAGUGGUUAUCAGGUUUAAACAGAACAAUGGAAGGGAAAAUGUGUAUACACACAUAUUUCGGGGGUAUAUCCUUCCCAAGGACAAGCGGAGCAUGAUAUCCAUGAUAGGAUAGAAAGUAGAAAACCAUUUAGGUAAGGGGAGAGAAAUUUCAUGACAUUACCCAUACAAUGGUGUUUGAUAAUUGAGCAGGAAACAUUUAGCAUCCCGCCUCCAAUGUUCUUGUUGAUGAGUGGGGUAUCAUAGUCAUGCUUCGAGGUAGCAAUGAUAUGGUGCUUCAAUCAAGGGCCGGACUUUGGAUACACAAAUGAUCCAUCAGGAGCAACUUAUAAAAUAAGUCCUACAAUUUCCUCCAGGAAGAAUGGUUAUCCUUGCAAAAGAAAUUAUAAUGAUAGGUCCUCCAGCCAGGGGAGGGGGGUGCUAGGCAUGACAUCAUGUUACCGGGUCAUCAAAAUACCAACAUCAUAACUCUUGGAAAGUUCUCCCAACCAUCAUAUCUGACCAAGAUUCAGAUCCGAUUGGUGUCAUGAUACCUCAGACUCAGGGUGUCCACGAGGAAAAGGUGCAACAGAAAUCGACGAAAUGACAUUGCAAGAUUCUCGGGAAAUGAACUAUGGGAGCGGGUUCCUGAAGCAAUAGUUCAUCAUUAAACCAAGGAGGGGAUGAGAAGGUGGUUGAUGGGCUCAGCGACAAUUCAUCGAGAAUUCCAAACGGAUGGAUUUCCACAAUAAGGUGAACAAGAAGAUAACAAUUGUCAAUUCAAAUGAUAUAAUGUUGUAUGCUCGAGGAAAACAUACACCAUCAAUCAUUAGUUGAAAGGUGUGCCCAAAAUAUGACCUUAGGCAGCAAGAUCAAUGCUUAGAAUGGUGAUUCAAUAACCAAUGGUCUAAGAAUGAAAUGUAGACCAUUAACUUCAAAGCAAUAGGGUCCCUAGAAGUUUAGAAUUCGCACAUCCAAGUUCAAUUGUCGGUUUUUCGGUUAGAAACAACACGGGGACCAAGAAGGAAUGGUGAUGGUGAGAAGUAUUACUAUAUCAAGAAUUUCUUGAGAGGUUGUGAAAUUCUCACGACAUUCCUGACAUAAAAGAUGGUAAUACUCCAAGGUAAAGAAGAGCAAAUGCUUGAUAGCAAGGAACUCAAGGUAUAACACAAAACACGAACAAGUUUGUGUUGAACGAAAGGCAAUAAAGUGGUCGAUGAUAACACAAAUCAUCGAGGGCAAGGAUGGUAUUUCUUAUCAUGAAUUCAAUUGAUAUCCUGGAAGAGCUCAGAAUGCUGAUUAUGAUCACGACAUAUUUCUAGAGAGAUUUCAUGAAGAUGUAAUCGAUCAGCGAUGACAUCAAGUCAAGGGAAUUAUGAAGCAAAAGAUUAUUAGAACCAUGGGUACGACACAAACUCAAAAUCAAGCUUGGUGUUCAAGGCAAAAUGAUAUGACGAGAAAGAUCGACGUAAGCUUAGCUCACGUCGAAAGUUGUGCUUCGGGAUUAAGGACCAGGUAACACAGUUAAAAUCGACACGAUAAUGAUAUAGUCGAUCAGGCUAGAAGUGACGUGAAGGAGUAUUAAACAUCUCGACAACAAAGUACUGGGAGUACUGUAUCUCAGUAUUGAUUCGAUUCAACAUUCGGUGUUCUCGGUUGACGACAACCAAAAACCCAGGAAAAUUGGAAGCGGUGAGAAAUAACAAUUGAUGACGAACCCACAAGAAGUUAUGCAGUUCCAUGAUAUUCUCAAGAUACCAGAGUGUAAUACUCGACGGUAGAUCAAAGUCAAGGUUGGACUGGGGUAUUGACCUGCAGAAGGCAAGUACUCUAACAUGUCCGAGAAAUGGAAUCAAGAAGAAAAUAUGGUCGAAACUAGGGUUGCGAAAGACCAAUUCCCAUAUAUAAGAUGAACUUAUACGAAAGAGGGUUUAAGAGAAGCAUCCAUGAUAAGAUCAGCAUCGUGUCCAUGGGCAUGAACGCAAGGUUCAAGGUCGACUCCCACUUCUCCAAUGCACAACUUCUCAUUUACUGCUCUUGGUUAAGAAUGUUUAGAGUUUGAAAGUUUAACUGGCGGAACACCAGAAGGUUAUGACCAAUGAAGACUUUUGGGUUCACACAAAUUAAGGAAGGUAUGUGUUCUACCCAUCGGGGCAUCUUAGAAACAUAUACCACAAGUUUCAAAAGUAAAUGCACAAGCUCGAAAGCAGAGCAUGAUUGGCCAAGCAGAGGAUAUAAUUUACCAAAGGCAAUAUAUACCUGUGGAAAGGCUCAUAAGGUUAUUGAAUAUGAAGGACGAUGUCGGAUGAAAUCCAACAAUGGAUUGGGCGAUCCACAACGGAGCUGAUGUUGUAUCGAUACUCAAGUAGAGGAAGAAACAAUGCGAAGGCAUUGGAUUAUAGAAGCAACUCACUAAUUCAAAGCUCAAUCUAAGAAUCGUGAUUUCUGAUUCAAGGGAUCAGAAGCAAACGCUCUGAUUAAGGAUGGGUAAGCUGAAUAGACUUAGGGGUACAAUCAACAAAAAAUUAAUUGGUUGAGAACCAACUCAUGUUCAAACUGACAUUGAGUCGGAAGGAUGAAUUCUAGGAUUCGACUGAGGAAUGCGGGCAUCCUCAACAUAUUGAAUCAACAGACUUAAAAUGAUAAAGUCAAGGGAUGCCAAUAGGAUUAUGAGACUUAUGGGAUUAACCAUAAAAGCAAGCAAGAAUUUCAAUAGCAAUAGGCUGCUCAGGAUUUUCGAAAGAUCGAAUGGUAUUUCAAAGUCUUUUGCAAAACACUUGAUCAGUGGGGUUGAGCGGAUACUCGGUAAGUGCGAGGAAUUAUCUGUAGGGCUAUUCAUGUGGCAAGAACUGCAAGGCAGUAGGCAGAAAGUAUUCUUGGAACAAUAAAGAGAAUUUCGAGGUAUCUUGUAAUAACAAGAUCAAUGGGAUUGAAAGGAAAAGUGCAUGUAGUUAUCCAUAAUAAUAUAACCAUGGUAGGGAAUAGCAACAAGCGGUGAGCACAAAGUCUUGAGAGAACAUCGAAGAGUAUCUUUGGAAUCCUUCGGUGCACCAAGCAAUCAUCUAGAGUGAGGGGCUCUCUGGGAGGAAGUAAUUACGAGAACCUAGAGUUAGCGUUGGUAAAAUCAUUUAACCCGAAUAGAAGAGAGAUCAGAAUCCCGGAGUAUAGAUGAGGAAUAAAAGAUCCUAACACCACCCAAUGGCGACGUGGGCCCAUGGGCCGCACAGCCAAGUUAGUAAAACAAUUUUCAUUGACUAGACUCAACUUCGGCCAAGGAGUUGGAAAGGGGGAUUCCUGUUGGGGAACGUAGUAAUUUCAAAAUUUUCCUACGCACACGCAAGAUCAUGGUGAUGCAUAGCAACGAGGGGAGAGUAUGAUCUAUGUACCCUUGUAGAUCGCAACGGAAGCGUUGACACAACGUAGAGGAAGUAGUCGUACGUCUUCUUCCCGAUCCAACCGAUCCAAGCACCGUUACUCCAGCACCUCCGAGUUCUUAGCACACGUACAGCUCGAUGACGAUCCCCGGGCUCCGAUCCAGCAAAGCUUCGGCGAGGAGUUCCGUCAGCACGACGGCGUGGUGAUGAUCUUGAUGUUCUACCGACGCAGGGCUUCGCCUAAGCACUACAACGAUAUGAUCGAGGUGGAAUAUGGUGGCAGGGGGCACCGCACACGGCUAAGGAACGAUCUCAAUGAUCAACUUGUGUGUCUAGAGGUGCCCCCUGCCUCCGUAUAUAAAGGAGCCAAGGAGGAGAGGUGCGCCGGCCAGGAGGAGGGCGCAGGAGGAGUCCUACUCCUACCGGGAGUAGGACUCCCCCCCCCAAUCCUAUUCCAACUAGGAUUCCCAAGGGGGAAAGAGGGAGAGGGGUGGCCGGCCACCUCUCCUAGUCCUAAUAGGACUAGGGGAGGGGGGGAGGCGCGCAUCCCUUAGGGGCAGCCCUUUCACCUUUCCACUAAGGCCCAAUAAGGCCCAUAUGACUCCCGGGGGAUUCCGGUAACCUCCCGGUAAUCCGGUAAAAUCCUGAUUUCACCCGGAACACUUCCGAUGUCCAAACAUAGGCUUCCAAUAUAUCAAUCUUUAUGUCUCGACCAUUUCGAGACUCCUCGUCAUGUCCGUGAUCACAUCCGGGACUCCGAACAACCUUCGGUACAUCAAAAAUGCAUAAACUCAUAAUAACUGUCAUCGUAACAUUAAGCGUGCGGACCCUACGGUUCGAGAACAAUGUAGACAUGACCGAGACAUGUCUCCGGUCAAUAACCAAUAGCGGGACCUGGAUGCCCAUAUUGGCUCCUACAUAUUCUACGAAGAUCUUUAUCGGUUAGACCGCAUAACAACAUAUGUUGUUCCCUUUGUCAUUGGUAUGUUACUUGCCCGAGAUUCGAUCGUCGGUAUCCAAUACCUAGUUCAAUCUCGUUACCGGCAAGUCUCUUUACUCGUUCCGUAAUACAUCAUCUCACAACUACCAUAUUAGUUGUAAUGCUUGCAAGGCUUAUGUGAUGUGCAUUACCGAGAGGGCCCAGAGAUACCUCUCUGACAAUCGGAGUGACAAAACCUAAUCUCGAAAUACGCCAACCCAACAUGUACCAUUGGAGACACCUGUAGUACUCCUUUAUAAUCACCCAGUUACGUUGUGACGUUUGGUAGUACCCAAAGUGUUCCUCCGGUAAACGGGAGUUGCAUAAUCUCAUAGUUAUAGGAACAUGUAUAAGUCAUGAAGAAAGCAAUAGCAACAUACUAAACGAUCGAGUGCUAAGCUAAUGGAAUGGGUCAUGUCAAUCAGAUCAUUCAACUAAUGAUGUGACCUCGUUAAUCAAAUAACAACUCAUUGUUCAUGGUUAGGAAACAUAACCAUCUUUGAUUAACGAGCUAGUCAAGUAGAGGCAUACUAGUGACACUUUGUUUGUCUAUUUAUUCACACAUGUAUUAUGUUUCCGGUUAAUACAAUUCUAGCAUGAAUAAUAAACAUUUAUCAUGAUUAUAAGGAAAUAAAUAACUUUAUUAUUGCCUCUAGGGCAUAUUUCCUUCAGUCUUCCACUUGCACUAGAGUCAAUAAUCUAGAUUACGCUGUAAUGAUUCUAACACCCAUGGAGCCUUGGUGCUGAUCAUGUUUUGCUCGUGGAAGAGGCUUAGUCAACGGGUCUGCAACAUUCAGAUCCGUAUGUAUCUUGCAAAUCUCUAUGUCUCCCACCUGGACUAGAUCCCGGAUGGACUUGAAGCGUCUCUUGAUGUGCUUGGUCCUUUUGUGAAAUCUGGAUUCCUUUGCCAAGGCAAUUGCACCAGUAUUGUCACAAAAGAUUUUCGUUGGACCCGAUGCACUAGGUAUGACACCUAGAUCGGAUAUGAACUCCUUCAUCCAGACUCCUUCGUUUGCUGCUUCCGAAGCAGCUAUGUACUCCGCUUCACAUGUAGAUCCCGCUACGACGCUUUGUUUAGAACUGCACCAACUGACAACUCCACCGUUUAAUGUAAACACGUAUCCGGUUUGCGAUUUAGAAUCGUCCGGAUCAGUGUCAAAGCUUGCAUCAACGUAACCUUUUACGGUGAGCUCUUUGUCACCUCCAUAUACGAGAAACAUAUCCUUAGUCCUUUUUAGGUAUUUCAGGAUGUUCUUGACCGCUGUCCAGUGAUCAACUCCUGGAUUACUUUGGUACCUCCCUGCUAAACUUAUAGCAAGGCACACAUCAGGUCUGGUACACAGCAUUGCAUACAUGGUAGAGCCUAUGGCUGAAGCAUAGGGAACAUCUUUCAUUUUCUCUCUAUCUUCUGAAGUGGUCGGGCAUUGAGUCUGACUCAACUUCACACCUUGUAACACAGGCAAGAACCCUUUCUUUGCUUGAUCCAUUUUGAACUUUUUCAAAAUCUUGUCAAGGUAUGUGCUUUGUGAAAGUCCAAUUAAGCGUCUUGAUCUAUCUCUAUAGAUCUUUAUGCCUAAUAUGUAAGCAGCUUCACCGAGGUCUUUCAUUGAAAAACUCUUAUUCAAGUAUCCCUUUAUGCUAUCCAGAAAUUCUAUAUCAUUUCCAAUCAAUAAUAUGUCAUCCACAUAUAAUAUCAGAAAUGCUACAGAGCUCCCACUCACUUUCUUGUAAAUACAGGCUUCUCCGAAAGUCUGUAUAAACCCAAAUGCUUUAAUCACACUAUCAAAGCGUUUAUUCCAACUCCGAGAGGCUUGCACCAGUCCAUAAAUGGAUCGCUGGAGCUUGCACACUUUGUUAGCUCCCUUUGGAUCAACAAAACCUUCUGGUUGCAUCAUAUACAACUCUUCUUCCAGAAAUCCAUUCAGGAAUGCAGUUUUGACAUCCAUCUGCCAAAUUUCAUAAUUAUAAAAUGCGGCAAUUGCUAACAUGAUUCGGACGGACUUAAGCAUCGCUACGGGUGAGAAGGUCUCAUCGUAGUCAACCCCUUGAACUUGUCAAAAACCUUUUGCGACAAGUCGAGCUUUAUAGACAGUAACAUUACCGUCAGCGUCAGUCUUUUUCUUGAAGAUCCAUUUAUUCUCAAUUGCUUGCCGAUCAUCGGGCAAGUAAACCAAAGUCCAUACUUUGUUCUCAUACAUGGAUCCCAUCUCAGAUUUCAUGGCUUCAAGCCACUUUGCGGAAUCUGGGCUCACCAUCGCUUCUUCAUAGUUCGUAGGUUCAUCAUGAUCUAGUAGCAUGACUUCCAGAACUGGAUUACCGUACCACUCUGGUGCGGAUCUUACUCUGGUUGAUCUACGAGGUUCAGUAGUAUCUUGUUCUGAAGUUUCAUGAUCAUUAUCAUUAACUUCCUCACUUAUUGGUGUAGGUGUCGCAGAAACAGUUUUCUAUGAUGUACUAUUUUCCAACGAGGGAGCAGGUACAGAUACCUCGUCAAGUUCUACUUUCCUCCCACUCACUUCUUUCGAGAGAAACUCCUUCUCAAGAAAGUUUCCGAAUUUAGCAACAAAAGUCUUGCCUUCGGAUCUGUGAUAGAAGGUGUAUCCAAUAGUUUCCUUUGGAUAUCCUAUGAAGACACAUUUCUCCGAUUUGGGUUCGAGCUUAUCAGGUUGAAGCUUUUUCACAUAAGCAUCGCAGCCCCAAACUUUCAGAAACGACAACUUUGGUUUCUUGCCAAACCAUAGUUCAUAAGGCGUCAUCUCAACGGAUUUUGAUGGUGCCCUGUUUAACGUGAAUGCGGCCGUCUCUAGAGCGUAUCCCCAAAAUGAUAGCGGUAAAUCAGUAAGAGACAUCAUAGAUCGCACCAUAUCUAGUAAAGUACGAUUACGACGUUCGGACACACCAUUACGCUGUGGUGUUCCGGGUGGCGUGAGUUGCGAAACUAUUCCACAAUUUUUCAAAUGUACACCAAACUCGUAACUCAAAUAUUCUCCUCCACGAUCAGAUCGUAGAAACUUUAUUUUCUUGUUACGAUGAUUUUCCACUUCACUCUGAAACUCUUUGAACUUUUCAAAUGUUUCAGACUUAUGUUUCAUUAAGUAGAUAUAACCAUAUCUGCUUAAAUCAUCUGUGAAGGUGAGAAAAUAACGAUAUCCGCCACGAGCCUCAAUAUUCAUCGGAACACAUACAUCUGUAUGUAUGAUUUCCAACAAAUCUGUUGCUCUCUCCAUAGUACCGGAGAACGGUGUUUUAGUCAUCUUGCCCAUGAGGCACGGUUCGCAAGUACCAAGUGAUUCAUAAUCAAGUGGUUCCAAAAGUCCAUCAGUAUGGAGUUUCUUCAUGCGCUUUACACCGAUAUGACCUAAACGGCAGUGCCACAAAUAAGUUGCACCAUCAUUAUCAACUCUGCAUCUUUUGGCUUCAACAUUAUGAAUAUGUGUAUCACUACUCUCGAGAUUCAAUAAGAAUAGACCACUCUUCAAGGGUGCGUGACCAUAAAAGAUAUUACUCAUAUAAAUGGAACAACCAUUAUUCUCUGAUUUAAAUGAAUAACUGUCUCGCAUCAAACAAGAUCCAGAUAUAAUGUUCAUGCUUAACGCUGGCACUAAAUAACAAUUAUUUAGGUCUAAUACUAAUCCCGAAGGUAGAUGUAGAGGUAGCGUGCCGACCGCGAUCACAUCGACUUUGGAACCGUUUCCCACGCGCAUCGUCACCUCGUCCUUAGCCAAUCUUCGCUUAAUCCGUAGCCCCUGUUUCAAGUUGCAAAUAUUAGCAACAGAACCAGUAUCAAAUACCCAGGUGCUACUGCGAGCAUUAGUAAGGUACACAUCAAUAACAUGUAUAUCAUAUAUACCUUUGUUCACCUUGCCAUCCUUCUUAUCCGCCAAAUACUUUGGGCAGUUCCGCUUCCAGUGACCAGUCUGCUUGCAGUAGAAGCGCUCAGUUUCAGGCUUAGGUCCAGACUUGGGUUUCUUCUCUUGAGCAGCAACUUGCUUGCCGUUCUUCUUGAAGUUCCCCUUCUUCUUCCCUUUGCCCUUUUUCUUGAAACUAGUGGUUUUGUUAACCAUCAACACUUGAUGCUCCUUUUUUGAUUUCUACCUCCGCAGCUUUCAGCAUUGCGAAGAGCUCGGGAAUAGUCUUGUUCAUCCCUUGCAUAUUAUAGUUCAUCAUGAAACUCUUGUAGCUUGGUGGCAGUGAUUGGAGAAUUCUGUCAAUGACGCAAUCAUCUGGAAGAUUAACUCCCAAUUGAAUCAAGUGAUUAUUAUACCCAGACAUUUUGAGUAUAUGCUCACUGACAGAACUGUUCUCUUCCAUCUUGCAACUAUAGAACUUAUUGGAGACUUCAUAUCUCUCAAUCCGGGCAUUUGCUUGAAAUAUUAACUUCAACUCCUGAAACAUCUCAUAUGCUCCAUGACGUUCAAAACGUCGUUGAAGUCCCGAUUCUAAGCCGUAAAGCAUGGCACACUGAACUAUCGAGUAGUCAUCAGCUUUGCUCUGCCAGACGUUCAUAACAUCUGGUGUUGCUCCAGCAGCAGGCCUGGCACCCAGCGGUGCUUCCAGGACGUAAUUCUUCUGUGCAGCAAUGAGGAUAAUCCUCAAGUUACGGACCCAGUCUGUGUAAUUGCUACCAUCAUCUUUCAACUUUGCUUUCUCAAGGAAUGCAUUAAAAUUCAACGGAACAACAGCACGAGCCAUCUAUCUACAUUCAACAUAAACAAGCAAGAUACUAUCAGGUACUAAGUUCAUGAUAAAUUUAAGUUCAAUUAAUCAUAUUACUUAAGAACUCCCACUUAGAUAGACAUCCCUCUAAUCCUCUAAGUGAUCACGUGAUCCAAAUCAACUAAACCAUGUCCGAUCAUCACGUGAGAUGGAGUAGUUUCAUCGGUGAACAUCAUUAUGUUGAUCAUAUCUACUAUAUGAUUCACGCUCGACCUUUCGGUCUCCGUGUUCCGAGGCCAUAUCUGUAUAUGAUUGGCUCGUCAAGUAUAACCUGAGUAUUCCGCGUGUGCAACUGUUUUGCACCCGUUGUAUUUGAACGUAGAGCCUAUCACACCCGAUCAUCACGUGGUGUCUCAGCACGAAGAACUUUCGCAACGGUGCAUACUCAGGGAGAACACUUCUUGAUAAUUUAGUGAGAGAUCAUCUUAUAAUGCUACCGUCAAUCAAAGCAAGAUAAGAUGCAUAUAAAGAUAAACAUCACAUGCAAUCAAUAUAAGUGAUAUGAUAUGGCCAUCAUCAUCUUGUGCCUGUGAUCUCCAUCUCCGAAGCACCGUCAUGAUCACCAUCAUCACCGGUGCGACACCUUGAUCUCCAUCGUAGCAUCAUUGUCGUCUCGCCAAUCUUAUGCUUCCACGGCUACCGUUUAGUGAUAAAGUAAAGCAUUACAUCGCGAUUGCAUUGCAUACAAUAAAGCGACAACCAUAUGGCUCCUGCCAGUUGCCGAUAACUCGGUUACAAAACAUGAUCAUCUCAUACAAUAAAAUUUAGCAUCAUGCCUUGACCAUAUCACAUCACAACAUGCCCUGCAAAAACAAGUUAGACGUCCUCUACUUUGUUGUUGCAAGUUUUACGUGGCUGCUACGGGCUUUAAGCAAGAACCAAUCUCACCUACGCAUCAAAACCACAACGAUAGUUUGUCAAAUAGACUUCGUUUUAACCUUCGCAAGGACCGGGCGUAGCCACACUCGGUUCAACUAAAGUUGGAGAGACAGUCGCCCGCAAGCCAUCUAUGUGCAGAGCACGUCGAGGGAACCGGUCUCGCGUAAGCGUACGCGUAAGGUUGGUCCGGGUCGUCUCGUCCAACAAUACCGUCGAACCAAAGUAUGACAUGCUGGUAGGCAGUAUGACUUGUAUCAUCCACAACUCACUUGUGUUCUACUCGUGCAAAUAACAUCAAACCAUAAAACCUAGGCUCGGAUGCCACUGUUGGGGAACGUAGUAAUUUCAAAAUUUUCCUACGCACACGCAAGAUCAUGGUGAUGCAUAGCAACGAGGGGAGAGUAUGAUCUACGUACCCUUGUAGAUCGCAACGGAAGCAUUGACACAACGUAGAGGAAGUAGUCGUACGUCUUCUUCUCGAUCCAACCGAUCCAAGCACCGUUACUCCGGCACCUCCGAGUUCUUAGCACACGUACAGCUCGAUGAUGAUCCCCGGGCUCCGAUCCAGCAAAGCUUCGGGGAGGAGUUCCGUCAGCACGACGGCGUGGUGACGAUCUUGAUGUUCUACCGACGCAGGGCUUCGCCUAAGCACUACAACGAUAUGAUCGAGGUGGAAUAUGGUGGCAGGGGGCACCGCACACGGCUAAGGAACGAUCUCAAUGAUCAACUUGUGUGUCUAGAGGUGCCCCCUGCCUCCGUAUAUAAAGGAGCCAAGGGGGAGAGGUGCGCCGGCCAGGAGGAGGGCGCAGGAGGAGUCCUACUCCUACCGGGAGUAGGACUCCCCCCCCCCAAUCCUAUUCCAACUAGGAUUCCCAAGGGGGAAAGAGGGAGAGGGGUGGCUGGCCACCUCUCCUAGUCCUAAUAGGACUAGGGGAGGGGGGAGGCGCGCAUCCCUUAGGGGCAGCCCUUUCACCUUUCCACUAAGGCCCAAUAAGGCCCAUAUGACUCUCGGGGGGUUCCGGUAACCUCCCGGUAAUCCGGUAAAAUCCUGAUUUCACCCGGAACACUUCCAAUGUCCAAACAUAGGCUUCCAAUAUAUCAAUCUUUAUGUCUCGACCAUUUCGAGACUCCUUGUCAUGUCCGUGAUCACAUCCGGGACUCCGAACAACCUUCGGUACAUCAAAAAUGCAUAAACUCAUAAUAACUGUCAUCGUAACGUUAAGCGUGCGGACCCUACGGUUCGAGAACAAUGUAGACAUGACCGAGACACGUCUCCGGUCAAUAACCAAUAGCGGGACCUGGAUGCCCAUAUUGGCUCCUACAUAUUCUACGAAGAUCUUUAUCGGUCAGAUCGCAUAACAACAUACGUUGUUCCCUUUGUCAUUGGUAUGUUACUUGCCCGAGAUUCGAUCGUCGGUAUCCAAUACCUAGUUCAAUCUCAUUACCGGCAAGUCUCUUUACUCGUUCCGUAAUACAUCAUCUCACAACUACCAUAUUAGUUGUAAUGCUUGCAAGGCUUAUGUGAUGUGCAUUACCGAGAGGGCCCAGAGAUACCUCUCCGACAAUCGGAGUGACAAAACCUAAUCUCGAAAUACGCCAACCCAACAUGUACCAUUGGAGACACCUGUAGUACUCCUUUAUAAUCACCCAGUUACGUUGUGACGUUUGGUAGUACCCAAAGUGUUCCUCCGGUAAACGGGAGUUGCAUAAUCUCAUAGUUAUAGGAACAUGUAUAAGUCAUGAAGAAAGCAAUAGCAACAUACUAAACGAUCGGGUGCUAAGCUAAUGGAAUGGGUCAUGUCAAUCAGAUCAUUCAACUAAUGAUGUGACCUCGUUAAUCAAAUAACAACUCAUUGUUCAUGGUUAGGAAACAUAACCAUCUUUGAUUAACGAGCUAGUCAAGUAGAGGCAUACUAGUGACACUUUGUUUGUCUAUUUAUUCACACAUGUAUUAUGUUUCCGGUUAAUACAAUUCUAGCAUGAAUAAUAAACAUUUAUCAUGAUUAUAAGGAAAUAAAUAACUUUAUUAUUGCCUCUAGGGCAUAUUUCCUUCAAUUCCUACAGGCAGUCGGCUCUGAUACCAACUUGGGACGCCCCCAAUUCAAUCAUACACUAAUCAUACACGCAAACAUGUACGAUCAAGAUCAGGGACUCACGGGAAGAUAUCACAACACAACUCUAAAAAUAAAAAAAGUCAUACGAGCAUCAUAAUACAAGCCAGGGGCCUCGAGGGCUCGAAUAAAAGUGCUCGAUCAUAAACGAGUCAGCGGAAGCAACAAUAUCUGAGUAUAGACAUAAGUUAAACAAGGUUGCCUUAAGAAGGCUAGCACAAACUGGGAUACCGAUCGAAAGAGGCACAGGCCUCCUACCUGGGAUCCUCCUAAACUACUCCUGGUCGUCGUCAACGGCCUGCACGUAGUAGUAGGCACCUCCAGUGUAGUAGUCGUCGUCGACGGUGGUGUCUGGCUCCUGGGCUCCAACGUCUGGUUGCGACAACCAGGGGGAAAGAGGGAGAAAAACAACCAUGAGUACUCAUCCAAAGUACUCGCAAGCAAGGAUCUACACUACAUAUGCAUGGUUAUAUGUGUAAAGGACCAUAUCAGUGGACUGAACUGUAGAAUGCCAGAAUAAGAGGGGGAUAACUAAUCCUGUCGAAGACUACGCUUCUGGCAGCCUUCGUCUUGCAUCAUGUAGAAGAGAGUAGACUGAAGUCCUCCAAGUAGCAUCGCAUAGCAUAAUCCUACCCGGCGAUCCUCCCCUCGUCGCCCUGUGGAAAAGCGACCAUCGGGUUGUCUGUGGAACUUGUCUGGGUGUGUUUUAUUAAGUGUCCGAUUCUAGUUGUCAUAAGGUCAAGGUACAACUCCGGGUCGUCCUUUUACCGAGGGAAACGGCUAUUCGAAUAGAUUAACUUCCCUGCAGGGGUGCACCACAUAACCCAACACGCUCGAUCCUAUUUGGCCGGACACACUUUCCUGGGUCAUGCCCGGCCUCGGAAGAUCAACACGUCGCAGCCCCACCUAGGCACAACAGAGAGGUCAGCAUGCCGGUCUAAAUCCUAUGCGCGCAGGGGUCUGGGCCCAUCGCCCAUUGCACACCUGCACAUUGCGAGGGUGGCCGGAAGCAGACCUAGCCUCCCUAAUACAAGAGCAGGUGUUCCAGUCCAAUCCGGCGCGCGCCGCUCCGUCGCUGACGUCAAGAAGGCUUCGGCUGAUACCACGAUGUCGAGUGCCCAUAUCUUUCCCGCGUAGUUGGUUAGUGCCUAUAGGCCAGUGGCCAGACUCAGAUCAAAUACCAAGAUCUCAUUAAGCGUGUUAUUAUGAAGUAACUGCAGACGCCGACCAGGUCCAGGCCCACCUCUCGCCUAGGUGGUCUCAACCUGCCUUGUCACUCCGCCACAUAGUAACAGUCGGGGGCCGUCGGGAACCCAGGCCCACCUCUACCGGGAUGGAGCCACCUGUCCUUUCAGCCCCCACAUCGUAAUCACUUGCGGGUACUCAACAAGCCAACCCGACUUUAGUCACCAUCUGUAUAGUAUGUAUAUAUGUAUAGUAUAUACCCGUGAUCACCUCCCAAGUGAUCACGGCCCGAUAGUAUAGCAAGGCAGACUGACAAGAAUGUAGGGCCAAUGAUGAUAAACUAGCAUCCUAUACUAAGCAUUUAGGAUUGCGGGUAAGGUAUCAACGACUGUAGCAACAAUGAUAGGCUAUGCAACAGAAUAGGAGUAACCGAACUGUAACAUGCUACACUACUCAAAUGCAAGCAGUAUAGAGAAGAAUAUGCAAUAUCUAGUGAUCAAGGGGGGCUUGCCUGGUUGCUCUGGCAAGAAGGAGGGGUCGUCAACUUCGUAGUUGAACUGGGCAGCAGCAGCGUCGGUCUCGUAGUCUACCGGAGAGAAGAGGGGGAAGAAACAAUGAAUACAAUGCAAACAUAGCAUGACGAUGCAUCACAUGACAAGUAACGGCGCUAGGUGUGCCCUAACGCGGUAGUAGGUGAUACCGGCGAAAGGGGGAAACAUCCGGGAAAGUAUCCCCGGUGUUUCGCGUUAUCGGACAGAUGAACCGAAGGUGAAAUGUUGCAGGUUCACUAUGCUAGGGACGCAUGGCGGACGAACGGGCUGCGUAUCUGGAUUUGUCUCGUCGUUCUGAGCAACUUUCAUGUACAAAGUUUUUCCAUCCGAGUUACGAAUUAUUUUAUAUUAAUUUUCAAAAAAAAUAAAUUAUUUUAUAAAUUAUUAUCUAUUUAAUUCUAACAUUAUCCAGAAUAGUGCAUGCUGGCGUCAGCAUGAUGUCAGCAAUCAACAGGACGUUUACUGGGUCAAACUGACGUGCGGGUUCCAGUUGUCAUUGACUGUUAACUAACCUAACAAAUUAUUUAACUAACCUAAGUGAUUAGGUUACUCUAAUCAGGAUUAAUUAAGUUAAUUAAUUAAGGAAUUAAUUAAUUAUAUAUUUUAAUUAUAUUUUUUAAUUCUUUCUCCUCUUUUUUUAACGUUCUCUGGGCGUGGGGCCCAUCUGUCAUAGGCCCCAGGGGCCUUAAUGGGUUCGGGCGCUAGCGGGCGCCUGGAGCGGGCGCUGGGCAUCCGAACGGGCAAAUCCAUGGCGCGGGCGGGUGACUCGCCGGAGCCCGGCCACGGACGGCACCGGCGGGCGGCGGCGGGUCGGCGAAUGAUGGCGAUGCUGGGCAGCGCACCGGGGGAGGGGGGGCUUCGGACGAGGCCAAGGGAGCGGGGGCAUGGGCGCAUGGUGGCAGCGGCGGGGCUCGGCCCCAACCGAGGUGCAGGGAGCGAGCGGUGCGCCGGAGUGCGCGGGGUGAGCGCGUGAGUGGCAUGGCGCGCGCGACCAAGGGGUGGCACGACUGGUGGUCAGGAGGGCGCGAGCACGCGGGCCGGCGAAGCCGCAGGCGAGCACGGGGGCGCGCAGGUGCGGGACGGCGGGCACGGCGACGUUGAAACGGGAAAGGGGAGUGCGAGGAGAGGGAGGCCGUGGCCUCACCGGCGUUGCAAAGAUGAGGGUCGGCGAGGCUCGAUGGAGCCUUUGGGAAGGAGGACGGGGACGACUCGGCGGAGAGGUAGUAGGCCGGUGGGGAGGCUGUCCGGCGAUGGCGUCCGGCAAGGUGGCGAGGGCGCUCCGGGCGGCGGCGCCAUUGUCCAGGCGCGACGGGACGGGUGAGCGUCGUCGACGGGGUUGGGGCGCUGUGUUCGAACCAGUUCGGGCAGAGGGAGGGUGCGAGGAGCGAGGGGAGUGGGAAGUGGGGGGUUUUCCUCGAUCCAGAUUGGAUCGAGAGGGGGGAAGGUGGCGACGUGGGUGGGAGGGAGUGGGAGCGAGUGGGAGCGAGUGGGUUAGGGUUUUGGUCGGGGUUGACCAGGUAUAGGCCAGGGAGGGGGCCGGUUGUGCCAAGUAGGCCGGUUGGGUGGGAUGGGCCGAGGCCCAUGGGGAGGGGGUUCAUUUGUUUUGUUUUGUUUUCACUUUUGUUUUUCUUAUUUAUUUUACCUUUUCUGUUUUAGUUUUGUUUCCUAUAAUUUUACUUUUGGUAAAAUAUACACUUAGUAUCUAAAUUAGUAUUUUAGCUCAGUCCAUAGCCACAAAAGGUCUAGUCCUCAGAUAAAUUAGUUUAAAAUUUUAUUAAUUACAAAAGGUAUUUAAAUAAUUGUUUUUGCUACUGUUUUAUUCAUCUUGUAGUAUUUAAACAUUUUAUAUAGGUGUGGUUUCUCCACCAUAAUCAUCUAUGAUUUAUUUUCUACAAUUUGAACAUUUUAGAUUUGAUAAUUGAAAACUUUUAUUGUUGGACUUCAAUUCAAAUUUGAAUUUGAAUCGGUUCUGAACUAACACGAGAUUAGCAACGGUAAUCGUGGUCACGUGGCAUCAUUACCAGAGGGUUACUGUAGCUUGAUUACCCGGGCGUCACGGUAUGCAACACGUGGACCCAGGAAUACGCAAGCAAAGCCGAACAACCAAGCUCCUCACAGUCCCACACGGCAAGGCCAUGCUCGGCGGAGCAACAUUGGCGUUUAUUGCCUUUGUUGCUCCAUACUGCUCUCUCCUCGCAAACCAAAUCAACGUUCACGCCUGACCUCUCCAACACCAAGUUCAUGUCUAAGUGUGGCCAGUACGAACAAGGGUUCAGGGGUAGUUAUCCCUGUUUGUUAGUCUGUCUGGUGCUUCUUGGCGUUCCCAUAUGUGCGGAUAAUUCAUAAACUAAAUAUUUAUUAAACUUGAUGCCCGUAGCUUGCUUAACUUCCUGGCUAUUGUUGGUGUUUGCACCAAUGGCGCAACGGGUCAUCUAGUAUCCAUAAAGAAUGUCAAGAUUUCUUUAAUACUUAUGCACAUGUGGCUAGAUUGACAACCAUUUGAGAAUUAAUGUCUUUGCCUUCCUCACAUGAUCUUCUCGUUCAUCGAAUGGACAUCAAGACGACUUUCCUAAAUGAAGAGUUUAAGAGGAAAUUUACAUGGAACAACCUGAUAGUUUCGUAGGGGGGUGGUCAUAAAGGAGAAGUGUGCAAGUUAUUGAAUAUUUAUAUGAAUUAAAACAAGCACCUAAGCGAUGACACGAGAAGUUCAAAAGAACUCUAACAUCUACCGACGUUGUUGUAAAUGAAGAAAACAAAUGUAUGUACUAUCACAAUGGUGGGGCGAAGGAGUUACAUUGUGUUUUUAUGUUGAUGACAUACUUAUAUUUGGGACAAAUCUUAAGGUCAUUGAGGAAGUAAAAGCGUUUUUAUCUCAUAACUUUGAGAUGAAAGACCAUGGAGUAGCUGAUGUUAUCUUAAACAUCACGUUUUUGAGAGGUGAUGGUGGUGGGAUCACUCUCUUGUAGUCUCAUCAUGUGGAUAAGGUUUUGAGUCGAUUUCGAUAUUCAUAUUGUAAAUCUUCUCAAACACCUUAUGAUCAUAGUGUGUUGAUUUGAAGAAUGAAGGAACAAUAUGGGAUCAACUGAGAUAUUCUCAAAUUAUUGGCUUGCUCAUGUAUUUAGCUGCCCCUACGUAGCCUUAUGUCUCGUUUGUCAUGACAAAAAGAUGACUGGUUUCAAAACUAGGAGUUGUUCAUUGGCAUGCUCUUGAGAGAGUAAUGCACUCCUGAAAGGUACUACGAGUUAUGGACUUUACUAGACUGGGUACCCAAAGGUUUUGGAAGGUUAUAGUGGUGUGAACUGGAUAUAUGUUGCUAAUGAGCUUCAUGCCACAAGUGGUUAUGUGUUCAGACUUGGUGGCGGCUCUAUUUCUUGAAAGCCUUGCAAGUAGACCAUCUUAACGCGGUCAACAAUGAAAGGAGAACUCACAACAUUAGACAUAAUAACUAUUGAAGAAGAAUGGUGACCGCUGCACAUUAGCGACAACGUGGAAUGACUAAACUGGUUAAGCUUGAAUGCUUGUUUGAUAGAAAAAAAGUGAUUCACCAGGACAUGUGGAAAAGGAUGCAAUUACAUUGUUUCAAACGAUAAAUCUUCUAUUAGGUCCUGAUGAAGUACAUAUUACAAGCGUCAGAGAGCAAGUCAUAGAGAGCUUAGGGUGCAAACCAAAGUUUCUUUUUCUUCAAGAAAGGGAUCUCUCCCCGAUUCUCCCUGUAUGUAUCACUGGUUCAUUCUUUAGCAUGAUCAAACACCUCCUCAGUCACCCAUCAUAGCAUCUUCCUGCUACACCUCUACUUCCAUCCUGCUUCUGCGAAGUAGUCGCCGUCGCAAAAUUGGUACUAGCACAGUAUUGGGAUCAACCUUGACCAUCACUUUUAAGACAUGCAGCGUUCCUUGCUACUCACAUGCUAUAGCGGUAGUGCCUAAUGGUUGAUACUUUCAGAUGUUGCAGAUGGAUUGUACGAAAUAAAGAACAAAGUUAUUUUAUCUGUUUUGAGACUGCAAUAUAUAUUAUCUUCGACUUUGUUUCCUACGAAAUUCCAGCAGAUCAACAACCACAGUAGCAUAGACUUUUCUAUCGAAAGUGUCAUUCUGCUUCCCCGUGCAAAUAAACCCGGAUGAACAGUGAAUUCAUGAAACUAGCAAAAAGAAAAUUCAGAAAAUCCGAAUUAUUUGGAGACAAACAUUCUUCAGUGUGCUCCCUACAUAUAAAUAUUCGUUAAAAGAUGACAUUUGUGAUGCUUGGGUUAAAAAACAAAACAAGCACCCCCAAAAUGCUUCAAAAUGGCCUUCCCAAAGUACCGGUUUUGGUAUUUUUGCCCUGAGCACAUAAAAAAAUUGCACGGUAGUAGAACACUCAAAAAUGUUUGUUGUAAUUUUUUUGAAUGAUUUCACUAUUUUAUGCAUUUACUGUUUGUCCGGGUGCAUUUGCCCCGCGAGAAUAGAUAUUAUAUUCUUUCUUUUCUUCUCUUUCUGCAGGGAGAUAUUAUAUUCUUUGAAGCAAUUAUUUCUAGGAUCUUUACAGACAAGACAAGAGAUAGCCCACUGAAUAAAUUACUGUCACUGUUAUGUCUAAAAGAUAAACUUCAUUAUUCGGACAUCCAAAACGGGAAAUCAGGGAUGGUGUGCAUACAUGCCAGAAAGGAGACUAUAGACAAUCCUGCCGAACAUGUGCCACAUCUUGGUGAAGAGCUUAUAGGACGGUGGUGCUGCCCUCCAGCCAGAAGAGCUGUGUCAUCUCUGAGGACUCACUGGGGAGGAAACGAAGGCGAUUAUCUACCCUGCACAUCAAUAAAAGUGAGGAUUUGCCCCGCAAAAAAAAAUAAAAAAUAAAAGUGAGGAUUUGAGUAUCUUAGCUGAUGAAUAGAGAAAUUAGGCACAAGGAAUUCCUAAGAACAUUAGAAAUUGCAUGCAAAAUAUCUUGUUCAGAUAUUUCCCGUACUGAGUUUUAGUUUUGGUGGCUACAUUACAUGUUGAACUGAAAGUCUUCAUGUGAUUCUACCUCUGGAGGGAGCAGAACGUGGGUGUCAGUUUCGUGGACAAAAUGGAACUAUUUGCUAUAAAAAAUAAAUUCCUUGUAAACUAUGUGUGGAUUGUCCUUUCAUUUAGUUUUGAUAUUCAUAAUGUUCAUGGGAACUGUAAUAACUUACCGGUGAAUGGGUUUUAACAGUUGUAGUCUGAGUGGCAGCAAUGAUAGGAACGGUGCAUGUUUCAAGCCGGUGGUCAUUCUUUAUUCAAGUGUCCUAAUUUACCAAGAAAAAUGAUGUGCAUAAAGGUGUUUGCAGCAAGGAGAUAGGGCAUUAAAGUAGGUGACGGAGGAGGUCUUCGAUCAUGCUAAAAGGUGGCUUAUCAAAAGCUAGUUCCUACACUUUUGCUCAUUUUGUCUUCCAUGGUUUUGACUAGGUUAGAGUUAAGCUUAUGUAUGCCCUUCCUGGAUGCUGCUGUUUGUAGUAAGACUAGUGUCUCGUGCAGAGACGGCCCCAUGUUCCUGAAAAUUGUGUCGAGAUCAGGCUCGGUAGCUUCCACGAGCAGAUUAGCAGGAAAGCAUCAUAUUCCCUAGCUUCCGCGAGCAGAUUAGUAAGAAAGCAUCAGAUCCCUUUGUUGCACGUACUGUAGGAGUGUCACUUUGGCAACCCAAGAAAAAGAGCAAGGGCAGUGAGACUGGUAUGCACGCUGUUGGCAAAUGGAAGACCACAGUAUGACAACGUACAAGGAUCACAGCUUCAAAAUAGUUUGCAUCCUCUGUUAGGGAGAGACAAUGAUUUAUAGGUGAGCUGCCCCAUACUGCUUAUACAGCUAGUAGGUACUCCCAAGUCCCGAUGCCGCUCAUACCUAUGCACAAGCUAAAUAGUAUGGCCAUGAGCCCAUCAUGACCACGUUGGAUAUCAGCCUCUGCCAUGCUAUCACAGUAGUCUUGGAAUGUUGUAGUCGCAGGAGCCCACCUCUCUCGUUAGCCUUUUCUGUGUGUGUGGCGGCUCUGCUUGGGAACGGGAGGACUGAUGCCUCCUUCUAGGUCAGCACCUCCUCAUGGGCUUGGGCCCUAAGUGACAAAGCUAGAUGGGCUUGGCCCAUACCGGUUCAACACUCCCCCUCAAGAUGGGUGGUAGAUAUCUAUCAUCCCCAUCUUGUCACAUGCCAAGUUACAGUCCUUCGUUCCCAGUCCCUUUGUCAAGCAAUCUGCAAACUGUUGCCCAGAGCUGACAUGAGUAAGACUGAUGAUCCUAGCAUCAAGUUUCUCCUUAAUGAAGAAGCGAUCAAUUUCCACAUGUUUUGUCCUAUCAUGCUGAACUGGGUUAUUAGCAAUGGCAAUAGUUGACUGAUUGUCACACCACACCUUCAAGGGUCCCUUCCUCAGAAGUUUCAACUCGCUCAGUAGGUACUUCACCCAGAGCAUCUCACAUAACCCUUGAGAUAAUGCUCUAUACUCGGCUUCUGCUGUUGAUCUAGACACAACAGCCUGUUUCUUGCUUCUCCAUGACACCAAGUUUUCUCCCACAAACACACAGUAGCCAGAAGUUGAUCUUCUAUCAUCUUGACAACUGGCCCAAUCAGAGUCACUAUAGCCAUCCACCUCAAGAUGUCCACUCUUCGCAAACCACAACCCUUUACCCGGAGUCCCCUUCAAGUAUCUCAGAAUUCUGUGCACAAUAUCAAGAUGCCCACUCCUUGGUUCAUGCAUGUAUCUGCUCACCACACCCACGGCAUACGUAAUGUCAGGCCUGGUAUGACACAAGUACAAUAACCUCCAACCAGUUUCUGAUAAUCUCCCUUAUUCACCAGCUCGCCUGACUGAGCUGUCACUUGAUGAUUUUGUUCAAUCGGCGUAGGGGCUGCACGACAUCCCAUCAUGCCCAUGUCACUCAAGCGAUCCAAGGUGUAUUUCCUUUGGCACAAAGAUAUUCCCUUCUCUGUCCGGGCCACUUCAAUCCCAAGGAAGUAUUUUAAGUUGCCCAAAUCCUUCACCUCAAACUCAUAGCUCAGACACCCCUUCAAUCUCUUUAUUUCCUCCUCAUCAUCUCCGGUGAUGAUAAUGUCAUCCACAUAAACUGCAAGAAUGGUGAUCUUUCGAUUAGAGAGUGAGUGUCUGUAGAACACCGUGUGGUCACCAUUACAUUGACCAUACCCCAUAGCACGGACAGCACGUCUGAACCUAUCGAACCAAGCCCUCGGCGAUUGCUUCAGUCCAUACAAGGAUUUCUUCAGCCUACAUACCUUCCCCGUGGUCUGUGAAGUACCAAAACCUGGUGGUAUCUCCAUGUACACUUCUUCCUGCAACUCACCAUGCAAGAAGGCAUUCUUGACAUCUAAUUGAUGCAAUUUCCACCCAAAGUUUGCAGCACAGGAAACCAAUAUCCUUACUGUGUUCAUCUUUGCCACUGGAGCAAACGUCUCGUCAUAGUCAAUUCCAUAAGUUUGACUAUAUCCUCUGGCGACCAAUCUGGCCUUAUACCGUUCCACCUUCCCCUCAGGAUUCUGCUUCAUUGUAUAGAUCCACUUACAACUCACUGCUUUCUUUCCUGCCGGCAAUGUAGUUAGCACCCACGUCUUGUUUUUCCUCAGUGCUUCCAACUCUUCUAUCAUCGCUUCACGCCACUUCGGAUCUUGCUUUGCAGCCUUCCAGUCCUUUGGGAUUGACACAGUUUGAAGAGAGGCAACAAACACUCUAUAGGAAGGAGACAAAGCCUAAUAAGACACAACAUUUCCGAUAUCAUGAUCAUCAAAAACCUCCGGUGGUAAAGCCUUCUGUGCCGCUUCACGUGUCCCCUUUCGCAACGCAAUAGGCAGUUCCACUGUGUCAGAUGAGCUUGCACCACUGCCUUGUUGCUCCCCCUGCACUGACUGCUCCCCCUGCACUUGUUGCUCCCCCUCCUGCACAAGUGGCUGCCGCCGAGAAUAUACCAGACGAGUGUCAGAUGAGUCAUGCACCUGUGGCACUUGUGGCUCUCGUCGAGAGUACACUAGGGGGGUCUUCUGCCACCGAUCUCGAACAAGGAGCUGGAGAUUACCAAUCUGAAUGGAACCCACUGUUGGCUGGACCUGAACCUGCACAUCACCAUCAGUGAGAGUACCAACCGGAAUUGUACCCACAAUUGGCUGGACUUGAACCUGCACAUCAUUAGUGCCCACAGAAUCCUCCUGAGUGUGAGAUACAGCCUUCUCCCCCUCUUGACCAUCCUGCACAGAGUGUAAAUGGUCAAGCCCUUGAAACAACACACUUAGAUCUGUUGGCUCACCAUAGAAUGGCUCAGACUCCCUGAAGGUUACAUCCAUACUGACAAACCUGCAUUUCUCUGAGGGACACCAACAUUUAUACCCCUGCUGACUAGAAGAAUAGCCCAGAAAAAUACACUUCACCGCUCGCGGAUCAAGUUUUCCAACAGAAGGACGGUGAUCUCGAACAAAACAAGUACUGCCAAACAACUUUGGGGGAACAACAAACUUAGUUUCUCCAUAUACUAGCUCACACGGAGAUUUCAUGCUUAGUAUUCUUGAUGGUGUCCGGUUGAUCAAGUAUGUGGCUGUCAUAACUGCUUCACUCCACAAGAAUUUGGGCACAUUCAUCGUAAACAUCAAUGACCGAGCAACCUCAAGAAUAUGCCGAUUUUUCCUUUCUGCCACUCCAUUCUGAGGAGGGGUGUCUGGGCAUGUAGUUUGAUGAAGAAUACCUUGAUCAGACAAAUAGGCCCCAAAUGUGUUGUUCACAUACUCUGUUCCAUUGUCAGUCCUGAUCACCUGCACCUGCACCUGAAACUGAUUCUUCACCAAGGCAUGGAAAUUCUGAAAACAGCUAAACACCUCAUCUUUGUGACGCAUCAUAUAAAUCCAAGUCAUACGAGAAUAGCAAUCGAUGAAUGUAACAAAGUAUUUCAUUCCAUUCAUUGAUACAACUGGGCUCUUCCAUACAUCCGAAUGAAUAAGCAUAAAAGGAGAGAUGCUCCUAAGCCCCUUGCCCACAUAUGAGGCUCGUGUGUGUUUGGCAUAUUCGCAAGCAUCACAUGUCAACUUGCCCUUGCCUAUCCCACACAUAACAUCCGGAAAGAUUCUACUCAUCUUAUCAAAAGAUACAUGUCCCAUCCUACAGUGAUGGAUCAUCGCCUCCUUCUCCUUGUCCUCCAUGGUCGCAGCACACACCAAGUCCGGCUGCACCUCCUGGUCCAUGUACCAGAGCCCCCUACGCCUGGUGCCAGUCCCAACCGUCUGGCUCGUCUGGCGCUCCUGAAUCACGCAACCGAAUUUGUCAAGGAUCACACGACAGUCAAUUUGAUCAAUUAGAGCACUGAAAGAGACCAAAUUGACAGGAAAAGCUGGCACAUGUAACACUGAGGAUAGGGAGAUGGUCGGAGUGCACUUGACUGUGCCAACCCCUAUGACAGGCUGGUUUGUGCCAUCAGCAGUUUGCAUUGUGCCCGUGCGAGACGGAGGGUGCUUAUGGUAAGACUCAAACAUGCAGGAAUUACUAGCAACAUGCUUAGAUGCUCCAGAGUCAAGAACCCACUCUGGAGCACUCUCAUUAGAAGCAAGACAUGCCUCAUCCGGAUUACCUUCAUCAGUGGAGGCCCAGAGAGCAAAGUCUCCAUAGUCAGCAUCAGCUGCAUCUUUGCCUUCUGACGUCCCAAUGUCUCCUGCCACUGUCAUGUGAGCCCUCUGAUCCCCUAGGUGUCCUGAGUAGCCACCUCUACCCAUAGAAGCCUGGCCCCUUGAGGUCCCUGAGUAUCCACCUCUGCCUCUACCACGCCUGCCUCUGCCAGUUCCCCCUCUGUCGUAUCCCCUGCCUCUGCCACGAGUUGGACACGCCCACUUCCAGUGACCUACCUCCCAACAGAUAUGACAUUUGUUGGGAUCGCUCCACUCCAUGCGCUCAGUGACUGCAAAUGUCGAAGCCGGCACAACCUUCAUGUCUGCAUGCUCAAGAGAUAGCCGCACCUCCUCUUGAGACAUUGCAGCAAUAGUCUCCUCAAUAGAGGGCAGGAGAGGUUGGUGCAACAGGGAUGCCCUCCUGCCAUGAAAGCAACCUCUAAGCCCCUCCAACAGUUUCAGCACACGCCUGCGUGCAAUCCACUUGCGCCCUGACUCGAUGCAAGCCGCAUCAUAGAGUUCCAGAGGGUCGCAGUUAUCCUGCUCUGCCCACAAAGCCUGCAGCUCUGCCACAUAUGUCAUCACUGACAUGUCAUCACCUUGAUGCAGCCGACUGAUCUUCCCCUCAAUCUGAGCAAUGAGCAUGACAUUGCCCUUACCUGAGUACAAGGUGGACAGAGUCGUCCAUAUCGCAACGGAUGUGGAUAGCCCCUCCACAGAGCGUCCAAUGGGGGGCACCACCGAGUUCAACAACCAGCCAAUGAGCACAGAGUUUAUGACCUUCCAUCUCUUUCCCUCCACAGUAGUCUUGUCUCCUGGUUCAGCAACAGCACCCAACAAGUGCCCAUCAAGCUCCUUCUGUUCCACAGCCAGCAACGCCCUUCGGGACCAGCUCAGAUAAUUGGUAGCCCCCUCUAACUUCAUGUCCAUGGACGACAGUUCGAUCUUCUGAGCCACUUCUUGUCGAGGAACGAUGGCCCUAGAUUUCGACUCCUCAAGGAUCUUAGCUAGCUUCUCGAAAGCCUCAGCAAGGCCUGUUGGCUCACUCAUCUUCGGAUACAGCCUACACAGCCAACAAUAGCAGCAAGCACAGCCGCACACAGUCCUCUGCAGAAUCAGCAGUCUCCAGUUCCCUUUCAAUCAGCAGCACAACACUGCCCCACUUCUCCUUCCUCAGCAGCAGGACAGCAACCAACAGCAACCUCGGCUUCAGGCAGCUGCAGCACACUUCUCUCCUCUGACUUAGCCGCUGCACACAGCAGCAGUUCCAGCAGCACACCUCCUGUCAGUCCCCUCUACAGCCCCUCCACAUGCGCACCUCCUCAGCUCGCGCCGCCCCCUUGUCUUCCUCACUCGCACGCAGCUACUGGCGCAGCUCCCCUGCAGCUGCGAGAGGCCAGCCAGCGCACAACCGCGAGAGGGAACAAGAAGGGAAUGAGGGGAAGAGGGAGGAGCACGCGCCGAGGUGAGCCCACUCCGCCUCCUAGGUCCGCCGUCGCCGCCCUACUCCCGUCAGGCCCCGUCGUUGCCGCCUAGGUCUGAUACCAUGUUGUAGUCGCAGGAGCCCACCUCUCUCGUUAGCCUUUUCUGUGUGUGUGGCGGCUCUGCUUGGGAACGGGAGGACUGAUGCCUCCUUCUAGGUCAGCACCUCCUCAUGGGCUUGGGCCCUAAGUGACAAAGCUAGAUGGGCUUGGCCCAUACCGGUUCAACAUGGAACAAUAGCUAGCUUUUCUCCUUAUAUAGCUUCAACAUCAUAUCUCCCAUUUAAAAUGUAUUCAUUGGAAAUAUCUUACAGCUAAUGUUUUGGUCAACCACCCUCGACAGACAGCUGAGCAACGCAAUAACUUUGUACAAAACUUGCAGGCCAUGUGUGUAUCAAAUGAAAGACAUUCCAAGAUAGUAAAAACUUUUUUCGAUAAACUAAUAUGAAAGGCUUUCGACCAUCUUUGAGUUAAUAUAUCAAUCUACCCACAUGCUACAGCGGUACUACCUAAUUGGUUGAUACUUUGAGAUGUUGCAGAUGGAUUGUGCAGAAGAAAAUAAACAAGUUGUUUUAUUUGUUCUAAGACUGAAAACAUAUGACUUUGUUUCGUACGAAAUUCUUGCAAAUCUAAAAGACCAUGCGUAUGCUGCAAGUUAAGUAGUAGACUCUUAUAUCUAGCAUUACUCGUUCCCUCCAUUCUAUUCUUGGAAGCGAUUAUUUCUGGGUUCUUUAGAAACAAGAUAAAGGUAGCACACUGAAGAAAUUAUUGUCACUGUUAUGUCUAAAUAAUAUACUCCGUUAUUUUCAUCCAAAAAGGGAAAUCAGAGAUGACGUGCAUACAUGCCAGAAAGGAGAC